CGGACGGGUGAGGAAUACAUCGGAAUCUACUCUGUCGUGGGGGAUAACGUAGGGAAACUUACGCUAAUACCGCAUACGACCUACGGGUGAAAGCAGGGGAUCUUCGGACCUUGCGCGAUUGAAUGAGCCGAUGUCGGAUUAGCUAGUUGGCGGGGUAAAGGCCCACCAAGGCGACGAUCCGUAGCUGGUCUGAGAGGAUGAUCAGCCACACUGGAACUGAGACACGGUCCAGACUCCUACGGGAGGCAGCAGAC
rnacentral:rRNA from 1 species